GUCACUGUUAUAGUGUGAUCCUGUGAGUGUGACUGUUAUAGUGUGAUCCUGUGAGUGUGACUGUUAUAGUGUGAUCCUGUCAGUGUGACUGUUAUAGUGUGAUCCUGUCAGUGUGACUGUUAUAGUGUGAUCCUGUCAGUGUGACUGUUAUAGUGUGAUCCUGUAAAUGGCUUCUCUCAGGCUGGUGUGUGACUGUUAUAGUGUGAUCCUGUGAGUGUGACUGUUAUAGUGUGAUCCUGUCAGUGUGACUGUUAUAGUAUGAUCCUGUGACUGUGACUGUUAUAGUGUGAUCCUGUCAGUGUGACUGUCAUAGUGUGAUCCUGUCAGUGUGACCCUGUCCUUGUGUCAUCCUGUCAGUGUGACCCUGUCAUUGUUUGAUCCUGUCAGUGUGACCCUGUCAUUGUGUGACCCUGUCAGUGUGCCUGUCAUAGUGUGAUUCUGUCAGUGUGACCCUGUCAGUGUGACUGUCACAGUGUAAUCCUGUCAGUGUGACUGUCAUAGUGUGAUCCUGUCAUAGUGUGACUGGUAUAGUGUGAUCCUGUCAGUGUGACUGUCAGUGUGAUCCUGUCAGUGUGACUGUCAGUGUGAUCCUGUCAGUGUGACCCUGUCACAGUGUGAUCCUGUCAGUGUGACUGGUAUAGUGUGACCCUGUCACAGUGUGACCCUGUCAGUGUGAUCCUGUCAGUGUGUGAUCCUGUCAGUGUGACCCUGUCACAGUGUGAUCCUGUCAGUGUGAUCCUGUCAGUGUGACUGGUAUAGUGUGACCGUGUCACAGUGUGACCCUGUCAUAGUGCGAUCCUGUCAGUGUGACUGGUAUAGUGUGACCCUGUCACAGUGUGACCUUGUCACAGUGUGACCCUGUCAUAGUGUGACUGGUAUAGUGUGACCCUUUCACAGUGUGACCCUGUCAUAGUGUGACCCUGUCAUAGUGCGAUCAUGUCAGUGUGACUGGUAUAGUGUGACCCUGUCACAGUGUGACCCUGUCAUAUUGUGACUGGUAUAGUGUGAUCCUGUCAGUGUGACUGGUAUAGUGUGACUCUGUCAUAGUGUGACCCUGUCACAGUGUGACCCUGUCAUAGUGUGACUGGUAUAGUGUGAUCCUGUCAGUGUGACCCUGUCAUAGUGUGACUGGUAUAGUGUGAUCCUGUCAGUGUGACCCUGUCAUAGUGUGACUGGUAUAGUGUGAUCCUGUCAGUGUGACUGGUAAAGUGUGAUGUGAUCCUAUCAGACCAGCUCAUUUGAUUGUGUGGUAGGACAGGGCUGCCAGAGAGCUAUUUAUAGACAACCAAUGCAAGGUGUGCUUCCAGCCCUCA
rnacentral:lncRNA from 13 species